rnacentral:miRNA from 1 species
UUUUCUUUGUCUUGUGAGCUCUGGGUUGGAACUAAUGACUUUAACACAAAGAAAAAUUUGUGUUAAAGUCAUUAGUUCCAACCCAGAGCUCACAUGACAA